CUCAACACAUGCGAACCCUGGUCAGGUGCCGUCGUCGGGUUCUUUCUGUAAAAUUCGCCCAAAGAUCGCUGUUGGGUUAUUCUGCCAGCGUCUGACCUUACUGAUUCGUCGCCGUUUCGUGGAAUCUCCACUAUUUCCUCAAAAUGCACUCUACAGCCAAAGGACAUCGUGCAUAUUCAAGGGCAAAUUUCCAAGUAUCAAAAGACGAUUGCAAGGCUUCGAAGUGAGCAGGUGAAGACCCUCAAAGCAGAAUGCUUAAUUGCAGCUGUUUAAUGACGGACGCACUUGCUUGCACAUUCGAGAUGAGGAUGUUGGUGCACGCCCAAUUAUAUUUGUAGCCAUUUUAUUUUGGCACCGAACCAUUCACAGAAUUUUGCUACUUAAUUCACCCUCCCUUCGCAGAGGUACAAGAAAAAGUGUCAUAUUUUUUUCCCUUUUAAAUCCCAUUUUGAGCAAAUUAAUUGCUGGCGUGUCUGUGCGGUUUUUUUAUUAUCUUGAUAGUUGCAACACGUCUUGUAUGUGUUUUGCUUGUGUAAAGGCAUUGCCAUCACGCCAUUAAUUCCCAACUAUUCUCCAUUAUACCGGUGUCUCACGAGCAGUUUCGAUCACGAUCAAGCCCGAUCCGGAUCUAAAUUCUAGGCUUCGAUUGACUCCCUCACACAGCUUGCGCAAAGAACCAAUCGCGACCGAGAAAUUCAAAUCGGAUCGGGCUUGAUCACUAUUCAAAGUGCGCCGUGUGACAUCCGUAUUUUUUUUGUAUUUCACAGUUUCUUCCCGUCUUCAUGUAAGUACCUACCUCUUACAAUCUUGCUGCAAUAAAUUGUCGUCCGCUAUUUUCGUGUUC